rnacentral:rRNA from 1 species
UGGACCUCAGAUCAGGCAAGAUUACCCGCUGAGUUUAAGCAUAUCACUAAGCGGAGGAAAAGAAACUAACUAGGAUUUCC